rnacentral:lncRNA from 10 species
UUGCCCUGUGUCUCUUGCAUGGUAACAAGCCAGCCUCAACUGCUUGAGCUAAGAGCAAGCUCAGUGUUUCCUUCAAGCAGCAUCGUGGACAGAUUCCUGCCAGACCCUUCAGAGCAAGCACCCCACACCCCUAGCCCAGGGUCUCUUCAUCGAUAGGGGGUGAUCUGUCUGCCCCUCACUGUUUUCUCCAAAUAGCAUCUCCAAAUGGACUAGACUCGACAAGCAAACAGUCUGCAGUGGACCCCUUGGGUCAUCCAUUCUGAUGGAAACAGAAAUAGAAUUCCAGCCCGGUGGAGUGGAGAAGGCUCCAGGAGGGCGUCGGGCCCAACCACCUUGCGUUAUGGAGCACAGAGAGGGAUUCUGCUGUGGUCACAUAGCACCUAAGUGGUUGCAGCAGCCUCAGAACAGGCUGUCCUGCCUGAGUCGUUCCUCGUGAUCACUGCUGGCGUUUCUCCUGCUGGCCUUCAUGGCAAGGCUGAUGGCCAGGGCACACAGGAGCAACGGCACUGCUGGUCUAGCAAGUACCACUCUCUGGCCUGCUCCACAGCCCGGCCACAGCAAGGGAGGUGAGUCAUUCUCCGCUGACAGAUGCAGUCACUCCACAGAUGCUUUCCAUCUUUGCUAAUUAAUUCUGCACUUAAGAUAAUCCAAGGGCUCUAAGUUCUGGUCUUGCCUCUACUCCUGACCCAUCCUGUAACCUUGGGUAAAUCACUUCCCCUUGGUUGGGCCUCAGCUUCUCUCUCUACAAAAUGGGUAUAUUGAUUGAAACCAGGGGUUGCAAAUUCAAAUACUCAUAGGUACCAUCAAUGAAUAAGGCAGUCCCGGCGGGACCUGGGAAAAACCAUAGAGGAGCAUGCCCUAUCUGAAGGAGACCACCUCUAUCCCUUUCAGAUGCUUGUGGCCAUAAGAAAAAGCAGGCCUGGCGUUGCUCUUUGCAGAGAAACUGGAAAUCCAGCUUGGGGUUUCAAAAUGUUGAUGAGCGGGCCAGACCUUGCUCAAUUUGUCCUCAGAGCCCCUUCUUCCACAUCCCCUGUUCUGCUCUCAGGGGCUGGCCAUGUCUCUCUGUGACCUACUGAGGUUCCAGGGUGGCUGGGUCAUCCUGGCUCCUGGGCUUCGUCACCAGCACCUCCUUCCUCCCUCCUUACCUCCCUAGGGUCUAGAGCUGGUGCUGGUCUCUGGGUUGCCUUGCUGGUUUCUCCUCACCUGUGUCUCCAGUCCUCAUGUUAAAUUCCCUCUGUUUUAAAUACCUCCCAUGGUUUAUGGGUUCCUGGUUGGAUCCUGACUGAUACAUUUCAUAAUUUUAUUAACAGACAUUAUUAUUAAUGAACACAAUGAAGAGCAAAAAUCUUGUCCGUGGGUGGCUGGAUAGGGUAUGAAGAUUCCAGGUUAUAAUUUGGUUCAGGGUAGACCUGGGAAAUCAGACGGUAUCAGUCACUGUAGAAGCUUCCAGUCUUAUAUACUCUCCAGGGCAUCUGCAUCUGGCCCUUCUGCCUCCACUAAAAAGUGACCUCUCAUUCUCCAUUGCUGGGACUUCUUCUGGCCCUGCCCUGCUCACCCUCUCCCUGGUUGGUGGUUCUUUUUUUGAGACUAGGCCUUGCUUUCUCACCCCAGGCUGGAGUGUAGUGACGUGAUCACAGCUCCUUGCAGCCUCGACCUCCUGGGCUCAAGUGAUCUUCCCACCUCAGCCUUCCAAGUAGCUGGGACCACAGGCACACCACAAUGCCUGGCUAAUUUUUUUUUUGUAUUUUUAUAGAGAUAAGAUCUCACUAUAUUGCCCUGGCUGGUCUCAAACUCCCGUGUUCAAGUCAUCUGCCUGCCUCGACCUCCUAAAGGGCAAGCGGGAUUACAGCCUUCUCCACAGCCCAGCCACAGUGAGGGAGUCAUCAGCACUGGAACCCGGGGUCCACGGCCUUGGAGGAUCCGGACCCUCCGCAUUUGAGGAACUUGGCCUUCAGUCAGGGAGCCAAGAAGUCCCUGCCAAUCAAGGAGGGGGUGUGGGCUGGUGGGGGGGGGGCAGCCUUGGGGCACGGGAGCUGAUAGACCAGACUCAAGAGUUCUACUCCUGACUUCUAGAUUGUUCCACCUCCAUAUGGAAUAUGUUCCUUCCAUCUAACACUGUGUGAUUUGGGGACCAUCCAACUCAAAUGAAAGAAGCCAAGCCAUGCAGCGAGCCACCCCCUCCCCAAUGUGGGGUACCCCCUGCCCCCGCCCAGCUCCCCUGCCCUCCCAGCUGAGGGGGGAUCGCCGCCUGGUGAUCUCAGCCUCCCCUCCAAGUGGGCUGUGAAGUGUCUAAUCCAGGCUUUCAUCUGGCAUCCACAAUUAUAAUGUCAAGAUUGAAUAAUCUGCCUUUAUCUCCCGGGUGACAGCCAUGUAGAAACUUCAAAAGAAACAGUUUUGCUGGCAUCUAACGGCUUUUGUUAAUUACUAUAUCCCAAAGAAAAUGAAAUAAAGGAGGGAGAAAAAUGAUAUUUCUCUGUGACAACUUUGUAAAAAUAUCAGUGAUGAAGUGGUGCGGUUUAAGGGCUUUAAGUAUUCAUGCGGCUGAGAUGGGGCCUCUACCCUCCCGCUGGGAAGCUUAAGCGUGCCCGAGGGUGCAUGCACACACACACUCACACACUC